GCCUGGGAAACUGGGUCUAAUACCGGAUAUGACCUCCUAUCGCAUGGUGGGUGGUGGAAAGAUUUAUCGGUGCAGGAUGGGCCCGCGGCCUAUCAGCUUGUUGGUGGGGUAAUGGCCUACCAAGGCGACGACGGGUAGCCGACCUGAGAGGGUGACCGGCCACACUGGGACUGAGACACGGCCCAGACUCCUACGGGAGGCAGCAGUGGGGAAUAUUGCACAAUGGGCGAAAGCCUGAUGCAGCGACGCCGCGUGAGGGAUGACGGCCUUCGGGUUGUAAACCUCUUUCAGCAGGGACGAAGCGCAAGUGACGGUACCUGCAGAAGAAGCACCGGCUAACUACGUGCCAGCAGCCGCGGUAAUACGUAGGGUGCAAGCGUUGUCCGGAAUUACUGGGCGUAAAGAGUUCGUAGGCGGUUUGUCGCGUCGUUUGUGAAAACCAGCAGCUCAACUGCUGGCUUGCAGGCGAUACGGGCAGACUUGAGUACUGCAGGGGAGACUGGAAUUCCUGGUGUAGCGGUGAAAUGCGCAGAUAUCAGGAGGAACACCGGUGGCGAAGGCGGGUCUCUGGGCAGUAACUGACGCUGAGGAACGAAAGCGUGGGUAGCGAACAGGAUUAGAUACCCUGGUAGUCCACGCCGUAAACGGUGGGCGCUAGGUGUGGGUUCCUUCCACGGAAUCCGUGCCGUAGCUAACGCAUUAAGCGCCCCGCCUGGGGAGUACGGCCGCAA
rnacentral:rRNA from 1 species